UGCUUUGGCUUAAAAACUGACAUUUAUUUCAUUGUAAUACGACUUGGCUCCAGUGGGUUAAUGAGCAAAAGUCCUUGUUUACCACAGAUGGAGUCUUGCGGACGUCCAAGGGCGGAGAGCGAGAUCCCACCGUUGUGAGUUGAGGGGGAACGGCCGGGCAACGGGAAGUUAAAAUGGUUGGCAACCGGGAGAUCCAGCAGGCCUUGGAGGAUCGAGCGCAAGUGUGGAGUGAAAUGCACGCCUCGUCUAGAUACAAGGAACAGCAAAUGCUG